AUUAAACGCUGGCGGCAUGCCUUACACAUGCAAGUCGAACGGCAGCACGGGAGCUUGCUCCUGGUGGCGAGUGGCGGACGGGUGAGUAAUACAUCGGAACGUGCCCUGGAGUGGGGGAUAACGCAGCGAAAGCUACGCUAAUACCGCAUAUUCUGUGAGCAGGAAAGCAGGGGAUCGCAAGACCUUGCGCUCUAGGAGCGGCCGAUGUCGGAUUAGCUAGUUGGUGGGGUAAAGGCCCACCAAGGCGACGAUCCGUAGCGGGUCUGAGAGGAUGAUCCGCCACACUGGGACUGAGACACGGCCCAGACUCCUACGGGAGGCAGCAGUGGGGAAUUUUGGACAAUGGGCGGAAGCCUGAUCCAGCCAUGCCGCGUGAGUGAAGAAGGCCUCGGUUGUAAGAC
rnacentral:rRNA from 1 species